rnacentral:piRNA from 1 species
UGGGUGCAUCACACACAGCACAUCCUGCCGC